rnacentral:lncRNA from 10 species
UGUGUAAAAUAUGCAUCAGAUUCUGAAGACUUAGUAUGAAUGAAAUAAUGUAAAACAUCUCAUUAAUAAUUCUUGGCUCAGUGCAGUGGCUCAUGCCAAAUGAUGUUGCAUAACUUUUCACAUGCUUAUUUAGAUAUUCUUCUGUCAGAAGUCUCUGUUGAAGUCUUUUGCCCAUACUUUUAUUGUAUUAUUAGCCCUUUUGUCAUUGAUUUGUAAUCUGUAUAGAUUCUGGAUAUAAGUCCUUUGUUAGAUAUAAGAACUUUGAGAGGCUAGUCUUGAACUCUUGAGCUCAAGUGAUCCUCCUGCCUUGGCUUCCCAAAGUGCUGGGAUUAUAGGUGUGAGCCACCAAGCCCAGCUAGAAUAAGUCUUGAAAACAGGUAGGGA